rnacentral:tRNA from 1 species
GCCACCGUAUCUCAAUUGGUAGAGGACCGGUUUUGUAAAUCGGAAGUUGACGGUUCGAGUCCGUCCGGUGGCC